UUUUAAUUAUUUCUUUUGAAGCUAACAAAAUACUUCAAAACAAACAAGUAUCUAAUUAAAACCCUCCCAGAAAAAGAAAAAAUAAAAAACCGAAAAGAAGGUUUGUAAUGUUGUGUUGCUGUAGGAAUUUUGAGGAAGAAGAGAUCUGAGAAGAAAAAGAAAUCAAUAUAUAUAUUUAUAUAUUUAUAUCUAUAUCUGCGGAGGAGGAGGGUAGUGUGAUAGUGGGUCAUGGAGAUGAAUAACAACGGAGCCGCCACGAGCUCCGCUGCUGCUGGUGGAGGUGGCGUUUCAACUUCAACCUCUGAUUCAUCUUCAGCGGCCAAAAGGAAUUCCAAAAAACCAAAAUAUUCUAGGUUCACACAGCAAGAGCUUCCUGCUUGCAAGCCCAUUCUCACACCAGGAUUGGUCAUUACAACAUUUACCAUCAUUGGAAUCAUCUUUAUCCCAAUUGGACUUGUUUCAUUGUCUGCAUCAGAGCAUGUGGUGGAAAUUGUGGACCGCUAUGAUGAAGGCUGUGUUCCUCCUAAUUAUUCCAAAGAUAAACUUGCAUACAUCCAAAGCAGUCUAACUAACAAGUCUUGCACCAGGACGUUGAAUGUUCCUAAGCUGAUGAAAAGUCCUGUUUUCAUCUAUUAUCAGCUUGAUAACUUCUACCAGAACCAUCGGCGUUAUGUUAAAAGUCGAAGUGAUAAACAGUUGCGGAGCAAGGCAUAUGAGCGUGAUACAAAAAGUUGUGACCCUGAAGGUUUUGUAUUAGAUGGUCCGAUUGUUCCUUGUGGCCUCAUUGCAUGGAGUUUGUUCAAUGACACAUAUGGAUUUUCUGUGAAAAGUAAGAUGUUAGAAGUCAACAAAAAGAACAUAGCAUGGGACAGUGACAAAGAACAUAAAUUUGGAUCUGAUGUUUACCCAAAAAAUUUCCAGAGUGGAGGUUUGAUUGGAGGUGCAAAACUGAAUUCGAGCAUACCUUUAAGUGAACAAGAGGAUCUUAUCGUUUGGAUGCGUACAGCAGCACUACCAACUUUCAGAAAACUCUAUGGGAGGAUAGAGGAGGACCUCCAAGCCAAUGAGCAAAUUACUGUUGUAAUACAGAACAAUUAUAACACCUACAGUUUUGGGGGCAAGAAGAAGUUGGUACUUUCAACCACAAGUUGGAUUGGUGGAAAAAAUGAUUUCCUUGGCAUAGCAUAUAUUAGUGUAGGGGGGCUGUGCUUGUUUUUGGCAGUAAGCUUCAUACUUCUUUAUGUUAUCAAGCCAAGGCCUCUUGGUGAUCCGUCCUACUUGUCUUGGAACAGAAGUCCAUCGGGCCAUCCAAAUUAGGAUUGCUAUAAAUUGAACUUCACUUAUUCAGCUUCUUAUAAAUCCAUCUUCCGCUCUGAGUGUACUUGUUUUUGCCAAAUUAAUACAAAGAUAAAAAUUCCUGGAUAACCUUGUUCAUAAUGUUGCAAUUUAUUUUGGGAAAGCUAGCAUUUCAAGCUCAGGAUUCUUCAGCUAGCACGUAUUCCUUCUUCAUUCGGACCCCAUAGAUUCAUUUAUACUGCCUACAACUGGAUUGUACCAAAUUUUAACAUACUUUUCUGUUGCUCUGCAUAUCUAGUAAGUAGGAUCUAUUAUGAACUUAUAUUUUUUCCUAUUCCUGGAUGAAAGGAUAUCUGAACAUUCAUUU